GCAUGAUACGCCAAGCUAUUUAGGUGACACUAUAGAAUACUCAAGCUAUGCAUCCAACGCGUUGGGAGCUCUCCCAUAUGGUCGACCUGCAGGCGGCCGCGAAUUCACUAGUGAUUAGAGUUUGAUCCUGGCUCAGAUUGAACGCUGGCGGCAUGCCUUACACAUGCAAGUCGAACGCGAAAGCGGGGGCAACCCUGCGAGUAGAGUGGCGAACGGGUGAGUAAUACAUCGGAGCGUACCCAGGAGUGGGGGACAACCUCGAGAAAUCGAGGCUAAUACCGCAUACGUCCUGAGGGAGAAAGCGGGGGAUUCGCAAGAACCUCGCGCUCAUGGAGCGGCCGAUGCCGGAUUAGCUAGUUGGCGGGGUAAAAGCCCACCAAGGCUACGAUCCGUAGCUGGUUUGAGAGAACGACCAGCCACACUGGGACUGAGACACGGCCCAGACUCCUACGGGAGGCAGCAGUGGGGAAUUUUGGACAAUGGGGGAAACCCUGAUCCAGCCAUGCCGCGUGAGUGAAGAAGGCCUUCGGGUUGUAAAGCUCUUUCGGCCGGAACGAAAUCGCGUACGUGAAUAACGUGCGUGGAUGACGGUACUGGAAGAAGAAGCACCCSC
rnacentral:rRNA from 1 species